rnacentral:lncRNA from 1 species
CAAAAGUCUAUCAAUUCUCCAACAACUAAGAAAAACUACACAUCACCCAUUCAGUCUUGGGAGCCUGCAUUCCCAAGGGGCUGUGUCUCCCACUGCAGUCCCAUCACCCUGCCAUCUGGGGAAAGAAAGCAAACCGAAAACCUUAGAACAGUAAAAGCAUUCAUCGCGUGGCCGGCUGAGGCUUGAGCUUGCUGGAGAAGUGAGGUUUCUAAAGAGCUCUGCCCCACUGACACCUCAAGCUGCCCUGACUGCUCCUCCCUGAGCUGAGAGGUGCCAUCAGCUGUCAGACCUGGCCUCAGGGUAACAGGCAACGAAGGCACAGGUGAGCAGUUGGUAGGGACCACAGAAU